rnacentral:rRNA from 1 species
UACGUUCCCGGACCUUGUACACACCGCCCGUCAAGCCAUGAGAGGUCGGGGGGACCUGAAGACAGUUGCUGUAAGGCGCUUGGUUUAAGGGUUAAACCGAUGAGUUAGGGCU